AUAGGAUUUACCGAACGGAUUAUAAUUAUGUUGCUCGUAUGCCAAACCAACUACCAAAGAGUUGGACCACCUGGAAGUGGAGUGUGUCACUUGUUAACCCUAUUGACCUCGUUAACAAGCUCUAACCGCAACAUUCUAAAUGGUCGGCUAAUGGCUGCCGUUCGUAUGGACGAACACAUGGCAACGGCCAUCUUUAGCCGCGAACACAUACCUCAAGUUCAUAGAACUAUAAUCGGACACCCGAUGGCGCGAAUACCGCUGGGACUUCCAUCUCUUUGUACGCUCUUUGUAAGCUGGAUUCACUUGAGAAGAGCAACGUUCGGUGGAAACACACUCCCGAACAAGGGCCACAGACUAAGUGUACAUACGAACUGGUUGCAUUCAUAUUUCUGAUGUAUCGUGAACUCCCGAAAGAAACCGACUGCACAGCCUGAUUUCAUGGAACUCUUUUGGGGGAAUGGGCCUCAUGUGCGGUUGGUCAAAUUAUGACCUCCAUGGAAAUCCCGAACCCCUGAGCUGAACUGCCUGAUUUUUGGAUAUGUUAGUCCCCCAGAUCUGGGCUAUCAGGGGAUGUGACUUUUAUGGGGUUUCCAUGUGUUUUGGGGGGGUACUUUCGGGAGGUUGUUAAAAUGUAUAUUUUCUGUGCCUGGAGAUAAUUGAGUUUAUUACAGUUCCUG